rnacentral:rRNA from 1 species
AUUGAACGCUGGCGGCAUGCCUUACACAUGCAAGUCGAACGAUAACAGGUCUUCGGAUGCUGACGAGUGGCGUACGGGUGAGUAAUACAUCGGAACGUGCCCGAUCGUGGGGGAUAACGAGGCGAAAGCUUUGCUAAUACCGCAUACGAUCUACGGAUGAAAGCGGGGGAUCUUCGGACCUCGCGCGGACGGAGCGGCCGAUGGCAGAUUAGGUAGUUGGUGGGAUAAAAGCUUACCAAGCCGACGAUCUGUAGCUGGUCUGAGAGGAUGAUCAGCCACACUGGGACUGAGACACGGCCCAGACUCCGACGGGAGGCAGCAGUGGGGAAUUUUGGACAAUGGGCGAAAGCCUGAUCCAGCCAUGCCGCGUGCAGGAUGAAGGCCUUCGGGUUGUAAACUGCUUUUGUACGGAACGAAAAGCCUCUUUCUAAUAAAGAGGGGUCAUGACGGUACCGUAAGAAUAAGCACCGGCUAACUACGUG